GCUGCUAGGAAGCCUGGAGUGUGAACGCGCGGGGUGGGGGUGCACAGAGAGGUGUGAACGCGCAGGAGGUCCGGGGAGAUGCUCAAGGGUCUGGGAGAAGAAUGCGCUGGCUGGAGGAAUUCCUCCUGGGAACUCUGUGCCGAGUGGGAUCUGCCCACUGUGUGGCUGCUUCCUGGGUAAUUAGGGGAGCUCCAGGAAACCUCUAGUUCUGUUUCCUUCUCUCUAAACACUGGACCUUAAACAGGUGGAGAAGGUCUGUUGUUGAUUUGCGGGUAUACCACCACCAACGCCAACGGCACGGAGUUCAAAGGUUGGGCUCCGGAGCACCUGCUCAGAAAAAAGCAGAUCGGCCUUCUAUACCCCUCGGUCUUCUCCACCGUUCCACCGCCAGCCAAAAUGUGAAGAAGUGCUCCUUUCUGAAAGAUCUCAAGGAAGUUACUGCAGGUAACAGUAGCAGCUGCAGGAUCAAGACAGAGUGGAGGAAUAGGAGACCAUGUUCUUACUCCCUGGAGAUGGAGACUUCAAGCUGUCCUGGUGUAUGUGCAAUGAAUUGGACACACCCAGUAUAGGAAAAGGCAAGUGAACUUUGGAAUAAAACCCAGGCUGAUUUCCUUGUUUGUGACUUAUCUGGUACCUCUCAUUUUGAGCUCCAGCUUCCUCAUCUGUAAAACGAGAAUCAGGAUGCCUCUUCUGAGAGCUGCUGUGUGAGACACAUGGAAUCAGGUAGAUACACUUAACAGCCCAUCCCCCAUGUUUUUGAGCCAGGGUCUCCUGUAGUUGAGGCUGGUCUCAGACUGCUAUGUAGCCAUGUCUGACCUUGAACUUCCCAUUCUUUCCCUCUACCACCCAGUAUUCUAUACAUGGACCACCAUAUCUACCUGGCUUAGCACCUUCAAGUAAGCAUUAUCUUCAGGGCUAUUGAGAUAGCUCCUUGGGUAAAGAUGCUCGCUGCAUAAG
rnacentral:lncRNA from 1 species